GGGUUGUGAGGUUAAGCGACUAAGCGUACACGGUGGAUGCCCUGGCAGUCAGAGGCGAUGAAGGACGUGCUAAUCUGCGAUAAGCGUCGGUAAGGUGAUAUGAACCGUUAUAACCGGCGAUUUCCGAAUGGGGAAACCCAGUGUGAUUCGUCACACUAUCAUUAACUGAAUCCAUAGGUUAAUGAGGCGAACCGGGGGAACUGAAACAUCUAAGUACCCCGAGGAAAAGAAAUCAACCGAGAUUCCCCCAGUAGCGGCGAGCGAACGGGGAGGAGCCCAGAGCCUGAAUCAGUGUGUGUGUUAGUGGAAGCGUCUGGAAAGGCGCGCGAUACAGGGUGACAGCCC
rnacentral:rRNA from 1 species